rnacentral:rRNA from 1 species
AUACGGAGGAGGCAAGCGUUGUUCGGAAUCGCUGGGCUUAAAGAGCGUGUAGGCGGCCGAUCAAGUAUUGAGUGAAAGCCCCGGGCUUAACCUGGGAAUUGCUUGAUAUACUGAUUGGCUUGAGUCAGACAGGGGUGCCUGGAACAAUAGGUGGAGCGGUGAAAUGCGUAGAUAUCUAUUGGAACGCCUGAGGCGAAAGCGGGGCACUGGGUCUGCACUGACGCUGAGACGCGAAAGCGUAGGGAGCGAACGGGAUUAGAAACCCCAGUAGUCC